rnacentral:rRNA from 1 species
CUAAGGUCCCAAAGUCAUGGUUAAGUGGGAAACGAUGUGGGAAGGCCCAGACAGCCAGGAUGUUGGCUUAGAAGCAGCCAUCAUUUAAAGAAAGCGUAAUAGCUCACUGGUCGAGUCGGCCUGCGCGGAAGAUGUAACGGGGCUAAACCAUGCACCGAAGCUGCGGCAGCGACGCUUAUGCGUUGUUGGGUAGGGGAGCGUUCUGUAAGCCUGCGAAGGUGUGCUGUGAGGCAUGCUGGAGGUAUCAGAAGUGCGAAUGCUGACAUAAGUAACGAUAAAGCGGGUGAAAAGCCCGCUCGCCGGAAGACCAAGGGUUCCUGUCCAACGUUAAUCGGGGCAGGGUGAGUCGACCCCUAAGGCGAGGCCGAAAGGCGUAGUCGAUGGGAAACAGGUUAAUAUUCCUGUACUUGGUGUUACUGCGAAGGGGGGACGGAGAAGGCUAUGUUGGCCGGGCGACGGUUGUCCCGGUUUAAGCGUGUAGGCUGGUUUUCCAGGCAAAUCCGGAAAAUCAAGGCUGAGGCGUGAUGACGAGGCACUACGGUGCUGAAGCAACAAAUGCCCUGCUUCCAGGAAAAGCCUCUAAGCAUCAGGUAACAUCAAAUCGUACCCCAAACCGACACAGGUGGUCAGGUAGAGAAUACCAAGGCGCUUGAGAGAACUCGGGUGAAGGAACUAGGCAAAAUGGUGCCGUAACUUCGGGAGAAGGC